GAUGAAGAACGCAGCGAAAUGCGAUAAGUAAUGUGAAUUGCAGAAUUCAGUGAAUCAUCGAAUCUUUGAACGCACAUUGCGCCCCUUGGUAUUCCGAGGGGCAUGCCUGUUCGAGCGUCAUUAUAACCCCUCAAGCUAAGCUUGGUGUUGGGGCCUGCUGCACUGGCAGCCCUUAAAAUCAGUGGCGGCGCCAUCUGGCUCUAAGCGUAGUAAUUCUUCUCGCUAUGGAGUCCUGGUGGAUGCUUGCCAUCAACCCCCAAUUUUUCUAUGGUUGACCUCGGAUCAGGUAGGGAUACCCGCUGAACUUAAGCAUACCAAUAAGCGGAGGA
rnacentral:misc_RNA from 1 species